CACGUAGGGCGCGAGCGUUGUCCGGAAUUAUUGGGCGUAAAGAGCUCGUAGGCGGCCUGUUGCGUCCGCUGUGAAAGCCCGGGGCUUAACCCCGGGUCUGCAGUGGAUACGGGCAGGCUAGAGGUAGGCAGGGGAGAAUGGAAUUCCCGGUGUAGCGGUGAAAUGCGCAGAUAUCGGGAGGAACACCGGUGGCGAAGGCGGUUCUCUGGGCAUUACCUGACGCUGAGGAGCGAAAGUGUGGGGAGCGAACAGG
rnacentral:rRNA from 1 species